ACGGCUCAGUAACACGUCAAUAAUCUGACCUUAGGUCUGGAAUACCCUUGGGAAACUGAGGCUAAAACCGGAUAGGUAAAAGAUACUGUAAUGUUCUUUUGCUUAAAAGCAAUGCCUAAGGAUGAGUUGGCGGCUGAUUAGGCAGUUGGUAGUGUAACGGACUACCAAACCUAUAAUCAGUACGGGCCGUGAGAGCGGUAGCCCGGAGAGGGGUACUUAGACACUGACCCCAGCCCCACGGGGUGCAGCAGGCGCGAAACCUUUACACUGCACGAAAGUGUGAUAAGGGAAUCCCAAGCGCUUGUACAUAGUACAGGCUUUUGCCAAGAUUAAAGAUCUUGGCGAAUAAGUGGUGGGCAAGACUGGUGCCAGCCGCCGCGGUAAUACCAGCGCCACAAGUGGGGGUCGCGAUUAUUGGGCCUAAAGCGUCCGUAGCCGGUCUGUUAAAUCCUUUGUGAAAUCGCCGAGCUUAACUCGGCGGCGUGCAGAGGAGACUGGCAGACUUGGAACCGGGAGGGGUCAGGGGUAUUCUGUGGGGAGCGGUAAAAUGCUAUAAUCCUCAGAGGACCACCUGUGGCGAAGGCGCCUGACCAGAACGGAUUCGACGGUGAGGGACGAAAGCUAGGGGAGCGAUCCGGAUUAGAUACCCGAGUAGUCCUAGCUGUAAACGCUGCGAGCAAGGUGUUGCGUAUUCUUCAUGAAUGCGCAGUGUCGAAGAGAAGUCGUUAAGCUCGCCGCCUGGGAAGUACGGUCGCAAGACUGAAACUUAAAGGAAUUGGCGGGGGAGCAC
rnacentral:rRNA from 1 species